rnacentral:lncRNA from 1 species
UUUGAAAACCAUCGAUCUAAGCAGGAUAGUCGUAGGUUGAACUCGAAUAGCCAUGGCCAACCGGACAAAGGUUGAAGACGACCGGAGAACAGUCAUUGAGCAAAGGCUUAGUCGAAAACCUUCAAGAUCUGGUCAUAGGACCUCAGAAACAAGCAUGCAGAAGCCAUGAGAGGCUGGUAUAGGCCUCCGAUGAGCCUGAGAAGCCAUGGAUUAGGGUUGCAAUUAGAGGCGACGGCUAGGGUUUGAGGUGAGUUGAAAGAGAGUUGAGAGAGGAGGG